UUUAAAUGGCUGCAGUAAUUUAACUGUACAAAGGUAGCAUAAUAAUUAGUCUUUUAAUUGAGGUCUGGUAUGAACGGUUUAACAAAGUAAAAUCUUUAUUGUUUUAAUAAAAUUGAAUUUAAUUUUUUAGUUAAAAAGCUAAAAUUUUUAAGUGGGACGAUAAGACCCUAUAGAUCUUUAAUUUUUAUUUAUAAAAUUAAUUUGGUAAAUUUAAAAACUUUAUAAAAUGAAAAUUUUCGUUGGGGUGACGUUAAAAAUUUUAGAACUUUUAAUUAUUUUUACAUAGAUUUAUGGUUAAAUGAUCUUAAAUUUUAGAUUAUAAAAUUAAGAUACCUUAGGGAUAACAGCGUAAUAAAUUUGGAUAGUACAUAUUGAUAAUAUUUGUUUACGACCUCGAUGUUGAAUUAAUUUAAAAUUUUGAAGUAGAAAUCAAAAAUUUAGGUCUGUUCGACCUUUAAAAAUUUACA
rnacentral:rRNA from 1 species